AAUCAUGAUCUGACGAUUUACAAUUGCAAGAACUGAGCCAUAUUUGAUAGGACUUUCAGGUCCCAUGAUCGCGAUCCAAGUGGAUUGUGAUUAUGACAUCUGAGGAUUGUCUGACAAACCAGGCCAAACUUCUAAAUUCUCAUUUUAAGCCUAAAUUUGUCUCAAGAACCAUUUCUUUUGCUUAAAUAAGUCACAUAACAUUGUUUUUACAUGAUGCUACUGAUUGCUAAUGCUU
rnacentral:lncRNA from 1 species